AGUGGCGAACGGGUGAGUAACACGUGGGUGAUCUGCCCUGCACUUUGGGAUAAGCCUGGGAAACUGGGUCUAAUACCGAAUAUGACCACGCGCUUCAUGGUGUGUGGUGGAAAGCUUUUGCGGUGUGGGAUGGGCCCGCGGCCUAUCAGCUUGUUGGUGGGGUAAUGGCCUACCAAGGCGACGACGGGUAGCCGGCCUGAGAGGGUGACCGGCCACACUGGGACUGAGAUACGGCCCAGACUCCUACGGGAGGCAGCAGUGGGGAAUAUUGCACAAUGGGCGCAAGCCUGAUGCAGCGACGCCGCGUGAGGGAUGACGGCCUUCGGGUUGUAAACCUCUUUCAAUAGGGACGAAGCGCAAGUGACGGUACCUAUAGAAGAAGGACCGGCCAACUACGUGCCAGCAGCCGCGGUAAUACGUAGGGUCCGAGCGUUGUCCGGAAUUACUGGGCGUAAAGAGCUCGUAGGUGGUUUGUCGCGUUGUUCGUGAAAACUCACAGCUUAACUGUGGGCGUGCGGGCGAUACGGGCAGACUAGAGUACUGCAGGGGAGACUGGAAUUCCUGGUGUAGCGGUGGAAUGCGCAGAUAUCAGGAGGAACACCGGUGGCGAAGGCGGGUCUCUGGGCAGUAACUGACGCUGAGGAGCGAAAGCGUGGGGAGCGAACAGGAUUAGAUACCCUGGUAGUCCACGCCGUAAACGGUGGGUACUAGGUGUGGGUUUCCUUCCUU
rnacentral:rRNA from 1 species